CCUACGGGAGGCUGCAGUGGGGAAUAUUGGUCAAUGGACGAGAGUCUGAACCAGCCAAGUAGCGUGAAGGAUGACUGCCCUAUGGGUUGUAAACUUCUUUUAUAUGGGAAUAAAAUGUUCCACGUGUGGGAUUUUGUAUGUACCAUAUGAAUAAGGAUCGGCUAACUCCGUGCCAGCAGCCGCGGUAAUACGGAGGAUCCGAGCGUUAUCCGGAUUUAUUGGGUUUAAAGGGAGCGUAGGUGGAUUGUUAAGUCAGUUGUGAAAGUUUGCGGCUCAACCGUAAAAUUGCAGUUGAAACUGGCAGUCUUGAGUACAGUAGAGGUGGGCGGAAUUCGUGGUGUAGCGGUGAAAUGCUUAGAUAUCACGAAGAACUCCGAUUGCGAAGGCAGUUCACUGGACUGCAACUGACACUGAGGCUCGAAAGUGUGGGUAUCAAACAGGAUUAGAUACCCGAGUAGUC
rnacentral:rRNA from 1 species